rnacentral:rRNA from 1 species
CGAUGGAAGUCGAGCGGAUAUAUGAAAUCGGAGGGCUUCGGCAGGAAGAUUUCAUAUUUUAGCGGCGGACGGGUGAGUAACGUGUGGGCAACCUGCCCUGUACUGUGGAAUAAUCACUGGAAACGGUGACUAAUACCGCAUGUCAUUGCGAGAGGGCAUCCUCUUGCAAGAAAAGGAUUUAUUCGGUACAGGAUGGGCCCGCAUCUGAUUAGCUAGUUGGUGAGAUAACAGCCCACCAAGGCAACGAUCAGUAGCCGACCUGAGAGGGUGAUCGGCCACAUUGGGACUGAGACACGGCCCAAACUCCUACGGGAGGCAGCAGUGGGGAAUAUUGCACAAUGGGCGAAAGCCUGAUGCAGCAACGCCGCGUGAAGGAAGAAGGGUUUCGGCUCGUAAACUUCUAUCAACAGGGACGAAAAAAAUGACGGUACCUGAAUAAGAAGCCCCGGCUAACUACGUGCCAGCAGCCGCGGUAAUACGUAGGGGGCAAGCGUUAUCCGGAAUUACUGGGUGUAAAGGGAGAGUAGGCGGCAUGGUAAGUUAGAUGUGAAAGCCCGAGGCUUAACCUCGGGAUUGCAUUUAAAACUAUCAAGCUAGAGUACAGGAGAGGUAAGUGGAAUUCCUAGUG